GCCAACCCAUUACAGCAGAGGAAAGAAGAGUCAGGCGCCUGGUUAGAGCAGUUCCUCUUCCUCAGGGGCUUCCUCAUGAUCACAAGCAGAACCCAGUCUUCACAGGCCACAAGUUUUGUGUCUGGGUGUGUUUGGAAAAGAGGCCGAUCUUCUGUAAACUUGUGGCAACUGGAAGAUGCCAUGACCCCCCUUUUUACAGGUCUACUCUAUCUUGGACUGAGUCUGGACCUCAGGAUCCCAGUACUGGCAGGGGCCCUCUCUAAACCUACACUCCAGGCAGUGCCAAGAAAUGUGGUAGGCAUUGGGAACCAGGUGAAAUUCUUCUGUGAAGGACCUUUAGAGGCGAAGGAAUAUGCUUUCUACAAAGAAGGGAGUCCAGAUUACCCAAUACCAACAACCCUUGUAGAAACUGAAAACAAAGCCACAUUCUCCAUCUCAUCGGUUGAAUGGUACCAUGCAGGCCAAUAUUGGUGUGAAUAUAAAAGCAAUAAUGGUAUGUCAGAAAGAAGUGACUUCCUGGAGCUGGUGGUGACAGGAUACUAAUCAAGCAAAGUCACCUUGUCUGCCAUUACCAGCUCUGUGGUGACCUCAGGAGGGCACGUGACCCUUCAGUGUGUCUCACAAAAGGCAUAUAACAUUUUCAUUCUAGUGAAAGAAGAUGAGAAGUUCUCCACGCCCUAACAGAAUAUACAUGCUGAGCUCUUUGGAGCCCUGUUCACUGUGGGUCCUGUGACCCUCAACUAGAGGUGGAGGUUCACAUGCUAUGGGUAUGAUUUGAGCAUCCCUCAGGCAUGGUCAGUGACCAGUAACCACCUAGAACUCGUGGUCUCAGAACUGGAAGGAUACCAAAAGGCUGUGAUUGGUGUCUCUGUGGCCUUCUUCCUCCUGCUCUUCCUCCUCGUCCUCUUCUUUUUCCUCAAACUCAGGCAUCAGAAGAACUACAGGAAGGGGGUGCAGACAAAGACUGACUUGCAACAUCCUGCAGACUCAGCGACCAAGGGCAAAAGCUUCCAGAAGAGGUCCACACCAGCUCCUGCCAUCCAGGAAGAAAUCUUGUAUGCUACUGUGAAGGUCACACAGCCUGCAGACAGCAUGGAGCUGGAUGUCCUGAGCCAACAUGAGGAAGACCCCUCUAAAGACUUGUAUGCCCAGGUGAAGCCCUCGAGACUCAGAAGGACAGAGAUCACCUAUUCUUCUCUCAUGCCAAAGGAAUUAUUGGCCUCCAAUGACACACAGUCAAAAGGAAAUCAAGUGAUAGAUGAACAGGCUGCUACAACAGAGGAGCCACAUGAUGUGACCUAUGCCCAGCUGUGCAUUGUGACCACGAGACAUGGACAUGUGAACCUCCCUUCUUCCAGGCAGAAAAGUCCACCCUGAGAUCAUACUCUGGCCUCUACCAAUCCCGGGAAAUCACACUCUGCAUUUCAUGGAGUAGGGAGAACUCAGGGAUGUCAGAAAACAAGAUCUGUCUCAGGUGGACAGUCAUAGUGCAAACAUGACUGGUCUCUGUAGCACGAAUCUUUAAGAGUCUUAUUAAUAAAAUCAAACCUGAGGCCAGUUAUUGGGGUGAAUGCUGGAAGAUCAGAGAAGCAGAACCACCUACAGUUACCUCACC